UUUCAAAAUUACGACGAUACCUUAUUGGGACCGUCGUGUUUUUAAGAGGCGCUAAACAAAAAUUUCACUCUUAAGUUCGCGAGCGCGGAACUUUAUAGAAAGCCCUCGCUCUCUCAAAAUCUCAAAUUCUCUCACCUCCUUUCAGAAAAUCCGUUCUCUCUCAACUCUCUCUCACAUCUAUGAAGCACAUCUCCCUCACGCCUUCCACCGAACUCGCUGAUAUCACCAUCUCUGUCGCGCCGUUCAAGUCACCGAGCUCUUCAAGAUGGCCAUCUCCAGUGCGCGGUUCAGUCCACCGAGCUCACCGCUUUCGCCAUCUCCCUCGCGGUGCCCAUGGCAGCUAACCUUCCUCGUCGCGACCAUUUUGAAGCCCCUAACUGGAUUCCCAUCUUCCAUUCUACGAACGUUAGAUUAGAUCUUCUUACUCGUAAACCAAAAAGUUUAUGGGAGGAAUGAUGCAGGCCUAGCUUCUGGUGUUACAUUAGUUGUUUCUUUGAUUGUUUUGAACCUCCCUUGUCCAUUACUGGUUACAGUUUCAAGUUUCACCUUGGAGUACUGAUUCUUAUUGGAAGGACUGGAGUGUUUUCUAUUUCAAGCACAUGGCUAUGGGGACUUCAUCUGCAUUUAUGCAGAAAGCCCCCCAGGAUUUGACUACAAUUUUGGUAACAGCUAUCUUUGAGUGGUUGCUUAUUUCUAUCCUGUUCGUUGAUGCCAUAUUCUCCUAUAUAAUUACAAAGUUCGCUUAUUACUGUGGAUUGCCAACACCCCACCUGACUCUUUUUUGACAGCAACCUCAACAUGGGUUUUACUCCAAGUCUACCAAUAUAACUUCCUCACUCUGAUUUAAUAUGUGGGCAUGUUUAUUGUUGCUUCGUUGUUCCUUUCAGGCAACUUGCUCAGGCUUCUUGGCAAGUAAGUGAGCCAAGCUCCCCUGCUUUCUAAAAUCCCCUGUUCUUGUUCUUUUUUUAUUACUUGUGUUGUGUAACGAUUUUUGCAUUUUAAUUUGCUUUACUUUCAGAGAGCCUCCAGACUUGUAAAGAGUAGGAAUUCUUGGACCCUUUUCAACUCUUGUUUAUUAUGCUUAGACUUAUUCCAUUGAUGAAUUCUCUUUAACCUCUAAUUAUAUAUGUCAAUCUCAUUACUGAAAAUUAAUUGUGUCAGUGGUACACUUGUGAUCAAAUGCUCAAAGGCUAUCAAAAUUCAGAGGUUCAUUGGACCAUGCACAUCUUCGGAGAAGGUAGACGAUUUGGUCAUUUAGAACUUGUUUUUAUCACCAUUAAUGGCAGUGAUUAGAAUUAAUGAAAUAUAUUUUGUAAGAUUUGUGGUUUUCUUUAAACGAUGGUUUUAUUGUAAAAACCGUCGUCUUUAUAUACAAUCAAUGAUGGUUUUUUAACAAAA